rnacentral:rRNA from 1 species
UACGUAGGGUGCGAGCGUUUGUCCGGAAUUAUUGGGCGUAAAGAGCUCGUAGGCGGUUUGUCGCGUCUGCUGUGAAAUCCCGAGGCUCAACCUCGGGCUUGCAGUGGGUACGGGCAGACUAGAGUGCGGUAGGGGAGAUUGGAAUUCCUGGUGUAGCGGUGGAAUGCGCAGAUAUCAGGAGGAACACCGAUGGCGAAGGCAGAUCUCUGGGCCGUAACUGACGCUGAGGAGCGAAAGCAUGGGGAGCGAACAGG